AUUGAACGCUGGCGGUAUGCUUAACACAUGCAAGUCGAACGGUAGCAGGCCUUCGGGCGCUGACGAGUGGCGGACGGGUGAGUAACGCGUAGGAAUCUGCCUCAUAGUGGGGGACAACGUGUGGAAACGCACGCUAAUACCGCAUACGCCCUACGGGGGAGAGCGGGGGACCUUUGGGCCUCGCGCUAUGAGAUGAGCCUGCGUUAGAUUAGCUAGUUGGUGGGGUAAAGGCCUACCAAGGCGACGAUCUAUAGCUGGUCUGAGAGGACGAUCAGCCACACUGGGACUGAGACACGGCCCAGACUCCUACGGGGGGCAGCAGUGGGGAAUAUUGGACAAUGGGCGCAAGCCUGAUCCAGCAAUACCGCGUGUGUGAAGAGGGCCCUAGGGUUGUAAAGCACUUUCAAUAGGGAGGAAAACCUGCCGGUCAAUACCCGGUAGCUUGACAUUACCUAUACAAGAAGCACCGGCUAACUACGUGCCAGCAGCCGCCGUAAGAC
rnacentral:rRNA from 1 species